GCUGGGAGUGGUGGCUCACGCCUGUAAUCCUACCAGCUUGGAAGGCUGAGGCAGGAGGAUCGAUGGUGAGUUCAAAGCUAACCUCAGCAAAGGCAAGGCACUAAGCAACUCAGUGAGACCCUGUGUCUA
rnacentral:sRNA from 1 species